AUUGAACGCUGGCGGCGUGCCUAACACAUGCAAGUCGAGCGGUAACAGGUGUAGCAAUACAUGCUGACGAGCGGCGAACGGGUGAGUAAUGCUUCGGAAUCUACCCAAUGGUGGGGAAUAACCAGCCGAAAGGUUGGCUAAUACCGCAUACGUCCCACGGGAGAAAGCAGGGGAUCGCAAGACCUUGCGCCAAUGGAUGAGCCGAAGUCGGAUUAGCUAGUUGGAGGGUAACGGCCUACCAAGGCGACGAUCCGUAGCUGGUCUGAGAGGACGACCAGCCACACUGGGACUGAGACACGGCCCAGACCCCUACGGGAGGCAGCAGUGGGGAAUAUUGGACAAGUGGGGGAAACCCUGAUCCAGCGACGCCGCGUGUGUGAAGAAGGCCU
rnacentral:rRNA from 1 species